CACCAGACUCCUACGGGAGGCAGCAGUGGGGAAUAUUGCACAAUGGGGGAAACCCUGAUGCAGCGACGCCGCGUGAGUGAUGAAGUAUUUCGGUAUGUAAAGCUCUAUCAGCAGGGAAGAUAAUGACGGUACCUGACUAAGAAGCUCCGGCUAAAUACGUGCCAGCAGCCGCGGUAAUACGUAUGGAGCAAGCGUUAUCCGGAUUUACUGGGUGUAAAGGGAGCGCAGACGGCAGGGCAAGUCUGAUGUGAAAGUCCGGGGCUCAACCCCGGGGCCGCAUUGGAAACUGGCAGGCUGGAGUGCCGGAGAGGCAGGCGGAAUUCCUAGUGUAGCGGUGAAAUGCGUAGAUAUUAGGAGGAACACCAGUGGCGAAGGCGGCCUGCUGGACGGUGACUGACGCUGAGGCUCGAAAGCGUGGGGAGCAAACAGGAUUAGAUACCCUAGUA
rnacentral:rRNA from 1 species